UUUCUUCAUCAAAAUCAUGAGUCAAUCCAAAGUUCCAAACUAAAGAAUACCUAACAAGAGGGUAAGUACACAUUGUAAAAAUAUUGUUUAGUUUAUUCAUAAUUACUAGAUGUAUUCUUAGUUUCUUACCAUUAAACGUUUGACAAUCUAAUCACUGUAAAAGGUCCUAUAGAUGGUUCUAUGAAUAAUGCAUUAGGCACUGCUCGCUGCUUUGUAGAAUGACAAAAUCUUUUUACUAGCACAAGUUAAAAUAUUUGUAGUAUAGAUUUAUUAAGUAUAUGUUAAGAUCAAAUCUAUACUUAAAAUAUUUGUAAAAUAUUUGCAGGUUAACGAAUACAACUUUAAUUAUUUUUUAUGGUAGCCAAGAUAGGAUGAUGUCGUCGGCCACGGACAUAGCAUCAUCGGCACCUCCAGCGAUUACUUUUUUUGAAAAUCCGGCACAAUAAAGAUUCUUCUCUUAUUUCCAAUGCUUUGGCAUCGGUGCUUUGGGAAUCCAUCCUAUUUUUGUGAUAUUAUACAGGACUAUGAAUACGUGGUGAAGAAGAAUGGAUUCCCCAAAGCACCGAUGCCAGAUCAUUGGAAAGGAGAGAAGAAUCUUUACUGUGCCGGAUUUUAAAGAAAAGGAAUCGUCGGAGGUGCCGAGGAUGCUAUGUCCAUCGCCGACGACAUCAGAUCUAUCUUGGCUACCAUAAAAAAUAAUUGAAGCUGUAUUCGUUAACCUGCAAGAUAUUAAGACUCAAUAAUAAAAUGAAAGAGAGAAACAAAUAGUAGGAGGUAAGAAUAUCUAUAUGUAUUCAUGUCUACUCUAGUGCGUCAUGUCUCUAAUAUCCGUAAAAUAAUAAAACAUAAUUAAAGCUGUAUUCCGUGAAAAUACUAAGACUUAAUAAAAUAAUGAAAGUGAGAAAAAAAAAAUAGUAAGAAGUAAGAAAAUCAAUAUGUAUUCAUCUACUCUAGUAGACUAGUACUGUAUUUUGCCAUUUUGGGGGGUCUCAUUCACGAAUAUGUAAUAUGCCAUAUAUAUAUAUAUAUAUAGUUUGAUUAUUCUACUCGUAAAUGUAGUGUUUAUGAAUAAUAGCGGUUCUUACCGUUUAAAAAUAGUUUUAGAAAUUAUUUUCAACUAUUUGGAACCGCUCAAAAUCGUUGAAUUUAA
rnacentral:sRNA from 1 species